rnacentral:rRNA from 1 species
AUACGUAGGGGGCGAGCGUUGUCCGGAAUGAUUGGGCGUAAAGGGCGCGUAGGCGGCCCGGUAAGUCUGGAGUGAAAGUCCUGUUUUUAAGAUGGGAAUUGCUUUGGACACUGUCGGGCUUGAGGGCAGGAGAGGUAAGUGGAAUUCCCAGUGUAGCGGUGAAAUGCGUAGAGAUUGGGAGGAACACCAGUGGCGAAGGCGACUUACUGGACUGUAACUGACGCUGAGGCGCGAAAGUGUGGGGAGCAAACAGGAUUAGAUACCCUGGUAGUCCACACUGUAAACGAUGAAUGCUAGGUGUAGGGGGUAUCGACCCCUUCUGUGCCGCAGUCAACACAAUAAGCAUUCCGCCUGGGGAGUACGGCCGCAAGGUUGAAACUCAAAGGAAUUGACGGGG